CAGUCCGCCCCGUGGGACACGACGACCGGCCCGGGCGCGUCCCGGCUACGCUGGCCGCGUGCCCCCUCCACAGAAGGGCGCAAAGCCGACAGCCGUCGCAUCCCAGGGAGAACAUCCAUG
rfam:Streptomyces pratensis ATCC 33331, complete genome.